rnacentral:misc_RNA from 1 species
CCGAGUUUACAACUCCCAAACCCCUGUGAACAUACCUAUCGUUGCUUCGGCGGAUCCGCCCCGACGCCCUCGGGCCCGGAUCAGGCGCCCGCCGGAGACCCCAAACUCUUGUAUUUCUUUAGUAUCUUCUGAGUAAACAAGCAAAUAAAUUA